UGACAGAAUGCUUAACACAUGCAAGUCGACUCGAGUCUUCGGACUUGGGUGGCGCACGGGUGAGUAACGCGUAAAGAACUUGCCUCUUAGACCGGGACAACAUCUGGAAACGGAUGCUAAUACCGGAGAUGAUGGUUUUUUCGCAUGGAGGAAUCAUGAAAGCUAGAUGCGCUAAGAGAGAGCUUUGCGUCCCAUUAGCU
rnacentral:rRNA from 1 species